GAAUUUUUGAUUUUUUUGAUGAUUUUAAGUUAUGCCCUUGUUGAUAAUGUGAGCUUUGUGAAGUUGGAUGAUAGUAAGUGAAAGAUAUGUUUUGGGUUAACAUAUUUUAUAUUUGAAUUUUUGAUGAAUUUGAGUAAUUUGGAUUAAAUUGUGAAAUUUGUAAAUUGAGGGACUAAAAUGUGAAAUAAAUGAAACAUAUGGG
rnacentral:lncRNA from 1 species